UACGGAGGGUGCAAGCGUUAUCCGGAUUUAUUGGGCGUCAAGCGUCCGCAGGUGGUUUUUCAAGUCUGCUGUUAAAGCGCGAGGCUUAACUUCGUACAGGCAGUGGAAACUGGAAGACUUGAGUAUGGUAGGGGUAGCGGGAAUUCCCAGUGUAGCGGUGAAAUGCGUAGAUAUUGGGAAGAACACCAGCGGCGAAAGCGCGCUACUGGGCCAUUACUGACACUCAUGGACGAAAGCUAGGGGAGCGAAAGGG
rnacentral:rRNA from 1 species